GACGAACGCUGGCGGCGUGCUUAACACAUGCAAGUCGAACGGAAAGGCCCUGCUUUUGUGGUGUGCUCGAGUGGCGAACGGGUGAGUAACACGUGAGUAACCUGCCCUUGACUUUGGGAUAACUUCAGGAAACUGGGGCUAAUACCGGAUAGGAGCUCCUGCUGCAUGGUGGGGGUUGGAAAGUUUCGGCGGUUGGGGAUGGACUCGCGGCUUAUCAGCUUGUUGGUGGGGUAGUGGCUUACCAAGGCUUUGACGGGUAGCCGGCCUGAGAGGGUGACCGGCCCCAUUGGGCCUGGGAUACGGCCCAGACUCCUCCGGGAGGCAGCAGUGGGGAAUAUUGCACAAUGGGCGGAAGCCUGAUGCAGCAACGCCGCGUGCGGGAUGACGGCCUUCGGGUUGUAAACCGCUUUCGCCUGUGACGAAGCGUGAGUGACGGUAAUGGGUAAAGAAGCACCGGCUAACUACGUG
rnacentral:rRNA from 1 species